GAAAUAUACAUACAUAUACACAUGAAGUAAAUAGGUUUCACAAAGUUCAAUGUGCGUUAAAGAACAAAAAAAAAAUCACCUUGUUUUAUUUUAUACUUGAAUUCCUAUUACUGCAUUAAAAUAUUUGUUUCUGUAUUGAUUCAACAAAUGUUUCCAUGUUUUCUACAUGUUUAGCAAUGAGCUGGCAUGAUUCUAAUAGUAAAAUUAAGUAUCACCUUAUAUUAAUAUAACAUUUGAUAAUUUAUAAAGCCCUUUCACAUGCAUCAUCACAACAGAUUAUCAAAUAUUAUUUAAUAAUCUUAUGAGAUGGCCAGAUUAGCCAAAUCUAUUUCCCUCAUUUCCUCCACCUUUUUUAACACACAAAAGGAAAUUUUGAUGCUCAAGAAAAAUAAGUGACUUGUUCAAUGUCACAACUGGGUAAAUACUGAGACAGGACUUGGAUCUGUCUUCUGACUCCUAACUUGGACAUCUUUAUAGUCACACUUUAAUUUACUUGGUUGUAGUCCAGAUAGGGCAAUUAACUAGUAGACCUUUCUGUAGGAGAGUUUCCUCACUUAUAAAAAUGUGUGGAUUGGAUAAGAUAAUGUCUAGGGCAACAGUUUUUUUUUUUCAAACUUCUGACUGUAACCCUUGUAAGAAAUAACAUUUGAUAUUGCAAUCUAGUAUAUAUAUAUAUAUAUAUACACAUAUACAACACAAACAUAUAAAAUAUAAUUAAGACAAGAAUUCCAUGAAAUCAUACUUACCCUUACUAGGAACCAUACAAGCUGUUUUCUAUGACAUUGCAUUUCAUUAACAAAAGGAAAAUGUUGCACGUGACUGGCUAUAUUGAUUUUAUGAUAUAAUAAUGGGUGACAACCAGUUUUAAAACACUGCUUUAAAGAGACCUAGUGCCAACUCUAAUAUUCUAGGAUUACCUCUAAAAUAUAGACAGGAAUAUGACAUUCUUAUUUGAAGGAAAUGGAAGGUAAUUCUUUUCACAAACUUAAGAAUCUUUCCAUGACAUAAAUAAAUCGAGUUUUAUUUAUAAGUACCCUAGUAGCUAGUCACAUUUCUGGUAACCUCAGCCAAAAAAUAAAUCUGCCAAUUCCUUGAGUCAUUAAAAUAUCUUUUACAUUUAUAUUCUGCAUAUUUACUUUAAUGAUAUCUGUAUUUUACUGACACUUAGCACACAAGUUUAACAAAAUUUUCCCAGGCCACAAGAAGAUAAAAUAUGACAAAGAGUAACCCAGUUUUGAAAAAUGAAGAAAUGAAUACUCUAUUGAAGCAAGUACAGAAUGCCAAAGUACAACAAUUUAUGAAUUUUUAAUAUGGAGACAUAAGGCCAGACCUACAUAUGGUUAAUAUGCAUUGACUGUUUCUACUAUUAAGUAUGUAUCUGCUUAUAAAUAUAUAUUAAUUAUAGACAUUAAAUUAUCUAGAUUUGUAAAAGUGUUCUGUUUCUCCUCUUAGGUAUACAUAUCCCUAACAUUUAUAUUUCUCUAUAUAUGUGUAGAGGGAAGGAUGGGAUCAGGAAAAUACAAGCUUCAGGAAAAAAAUAUGAAGUCUACUAAGAUCUACUACUACUGACCUCACUGAUGAUUUGGGCCUUAUAGAAGUGUACAGCUAAGCUGAAAUUAUGAGCAAAGGUUAAUAACAGAGCUGGGUCAAGGUAAAGUGACUGUGGUCUAGAGAUAAGCACUUGUCUCAGGCUGAGCCAAUCAAAAUAUCUGUCUGGAUCUGAAUCUUGACCAGGGAUACAGUUAACGAAGACAGCAUGGUGAACUGAAGCACUGGAUGACAGCACUGCAGGGAGAAGAUUGAUGAGUUUCUACUUCUGAGAUCUGAGGUUCUCUGUUUUUCCAAAGACUUGGUUGUUUUAACUUUUCCUUCAGUUUGUGAGUUACCCUAGAAUCAUUCCAGUUAAUUUACUUUUGAUCCCAUUAGUUAUUUCCUUUUUCUACCAAAGCAAAGAAUCCAAGCAUGCAACCAAAUCAGAAGGUUAACAUUUUCUCCACUGUCUUCUUUUAUUUUUACUUUUUAAAAACACUAUUAGGCCGGGUGCAGUGGCUCACACCUGUAAUCCUAGCACUUUGGGAGGCCAAGGCAGGUGGAUCACCAGAGGUCAGGAGUUCGAGACCAGCCUGGCCAAUGUGGCAAAACCCCAUCUCCACUAAAGAUACAAAAAUUAGCCGGGCAUGGCGGCAAGUGCCUGUAGUCACAGCUACUCAGGAGGCUGAGGCAGGAGGAUCGCUUGAACCUGGGAGGUGGAGGUUGCAGUAAGCCAAGAUCAAGCCACUGUACUCCAGCCUGGGCAACAGAGCGAGACUCUGUCUCAACAACAACAAAAAACCCAAGACACUACUGCGUUAAGAUAUUUUAAAAGUUUAUAUAUUUAGAUUUUAUUGUAAAACUAGAUUUUUAAAAUUAUUUAUUUAUUCAUUUUGAGACGGAGUUUCACUCUUGUUGCCCAGGCUGGAGUGCAAUGGCACGAUAUCAGCUCACCACAACCUCGGCCUCCCAGGUUCAAGUGAUUCUCCUGCCUCAGCCUCCCGAGUAGCUGGGAUUACAGGCAUGCACCACCACGCCCAGCUAAUUUUGUAUUUUUUUUUAGUAGAGACGGGGUUUCUCCAUGUUGGUCAGGCUGGUGUCGAACUCCCAACCUCAGGUGAUCUGCGCACCUCAGCCUCCCAAAGUGCUGGGAUUAUAGGUGUGAGCCACCGGAUCCCAGCCCUAGAUUUUAUUUUUAAAAAUCCAUGUUUGUAUAUCUUAUUGCUGGGGUUAAGUCAGGAAUUGCAUGAUACACCUUUUACCCUUUCUCUGAACACGUUUGCCAUCAGAGGAGGAAUUAGAACAUUUGAGUAUGUAUUUCCUCCUUUUUCUUUCCCUCUUCCCUCAGAGGAAAGGGACCUCUGCUCUAAUUCCCUGGAAUGAGCAAUAGCAGAUUAACAUUUUUGAGCUCUUCUCAUUCUACUGUUUCCAAUUCAAAGGGCAGGAGUGAAAAACCCC
rnacentral:lncRNA from 1 species